UCUCCUGUCGCGCGAGAUGUCACGUCUGUCGGGAACGUGCAAGUCGAACCCAGUGCUCGGCACGCGGGAUGAACAACAAAAUCUUAUUUCCAGGUUAAACAGAGGUGGAUCUGACACUCGCGGUACUACAGUGUCUUUCAAAAGCACACCUACCGUGACCUCACUGCAAUGAUGCGCACAACACUACCAGCAUUAAUUCAUGUCAGCCUUCCACACACCUGACGGGAGGACAGGCUCACCCCCAAGGCUCCCGGCGCUACAGGUCUUCACAGAAUUCCUGCUAGUCCACUCAGACUUUGGAAACCCAGAACAUGCAAUUCUGCUCUUGCGGCAGACCUGGGGUCAGUCGUUAGUCACCGUCGUACUCCAGAGGACAGACCUGGGGUCAGUCGUUAGUCACCAUAACAAAAAAACAAAUAAAUUACAAC